rnacentral:lncRNA from 1 species
CGCGCAACACAGACAGGCACGUAACUGUUUUGAGUCUGUCUGGUGUCUGUCUGAAACUGAACAAAUUGGAGAUGGAGUUUUAAGUCUCCAUCUAAAUUGAUAAGAAAUAAUGAAUUCAAUAUGGGAAUUUACAAUCACUCAACAACGCUCGCGAUUGAAUUACAGCGCAAUUUAAAUCAAUAUUUAGGCUGACGCUUUGAAAGUUUUUUCAAUGUUUAUCAUCAGACAAUUCAUUAUUUACAGGUAUCAUCUUCUUCCGUCCUGACAAAAAGCCUAUUUGCCCGAAGUUUAAGCCUAAUGGAGCGUUUCAAUGGAGCAGUUAUUUGAAAGGUUUGUCCCCAACCUGACCUGAAAUGGUUGACAUGUACAAUUUUCCAAUUGCAAUUAGAGAGGGAGAAAAACAUUGCAAGCCAUGCUCACGGUGAUGUCUAAGGCCCUUAUGACAUCUUGAACCCUGUACAUAAACCCCAUGUCUGUGGUGAGGACACUGUUCCAUGGCUGAUGCGUGUGAGGAGGAUGGCUGUGCUCUGCACCACGAAGAAGAUGUCAUGCUGAGGAUGGGUUUCUGCACUGAUGUUGUUGGUGUGAUGUACUGUAGCGGUGGCUCUCUCACUGUGUCUCUGUUGGCCAUGAUGCGUAACCAUAGAGAGUGAGUGACAGCCUGGUCUCCACACAGCAUAGGGGGCCUGAGAACCACAGACUCCUUUCAGAAGCAGUGAGGACUGACCAGUCUGCAAGCGAGACACUGGCCUUUCUCCCAUCAUGCCAGUCACUGACUGUUCUAGGCGUUGUGUUCAAAGACUAGUGCCACAAGUAUGGAAAUGCAGAUAAAGCAUUGUAACAAAUGAAAGAGGGAAAAAAAGGGUUAAAUGCCUGGAAAUGGUCACCGUCCACCACUUGUGCCACUGCCUGGUGCAUUUUCUUUUGUUUUGAAAGUUUUGCCAACAUUUUCAGUUGUUGACGGAUCUGUAGAGCGGAGGUAUCUAUCUACACACGCAGAUUAUGAGAGCCCUCAAUGUAAAUAACAUAUUUUUGUUUCUUUGAAUUUAAGAUGACAUUAACAAUGACCUAUCACAGUUUGCUGAUGAUAUGCCCGAAUGUACUCUUUCAGGUAAACAUUCUACAUAGUUUGUUAGAUACGGAAACAUACAACUGCCAUGUAAUGUUUACGAGAAAGCAAUCAAAACAGUAUAAAGCAAGCCUGUUUAGUAUUACGUUUUGCAGGCUAUAUGUUAUUUGGGUAAUUCAUAGAAGCUCUGUAAGUAUGUAAAACAUGUUUUGUUUUUUAUAUUUCCCCCAGAAAUAUCCACAGUAUAUCUAUUGUCUUAAUCAAGUAUCCCCAAACAGUCCAAAUGGAGGAGUAGUCCAAUGGUGGUUUUGGUUAUAUUGUGAUGAUUGAACGAGUUGAACCAGUCGUAGGCUGUGAUAUAAGGCCCACCUGAGUAGUAUGAGAAAGAAUAUGGGAACAUAGCAACAUUUAUCUAGAAUUAUAUCCAAUACAUUUGAUCCAUCUUUAAUUUGUAAAAAAAAAAUGUUUUGUCAAAGUGAUGAAAAAAACAUUAUUCACCAUUUUGUGUAAUGUUGUGAUUGUCCUUCUCAUAAUAAAAAUGAAGACAUACUCAAUUGUGA